rnacentral:rRNA from 1 species
UACGAAGGGGGCUAGCGUUGCUCGGAAUCAUUAGGCGUAAAGCGCACGUAGGCGGCUUUCUAAGUCAGGGGUGAAAUCCUGGAGCUCAACUCCAGAACUGCCUUUGAUACUGGGGAGCUCGAGUCCGGAAGAGGUGAGUGGAACUCCGAGUGUAGAGGUGAAAUUCGUAGAUAUUCGGAAGAACACCAGUGGCGAAGGCGGCUCACUGGUCCGGUACUGACGCUGAGGUGCGAAAGCGUGGGGAGCAAACAGG